UACGGAGGGGGCUAGCGUUGUUCGGAAUUACUGGGCGUAAAGCGAGUGUAGGCGGUUCUCAAAGUCGGAUGUGAAAGCCCCGGGCUCAACCCGGGAAGUGCACCCGAUACUGGAGAGCUAGAGUGUCGGAGAGGUUGGUGGAAUUCUCGGUGUAGAGGUGAAAUUCGUAGAUAUCGAGAGGAACACCGGUGGCGAAGGCGGCCAACUGGACGAACACUGACGCUGAGACUCGAAAGCGUGGGGAGCAAACAGG
rnacentral:rRNA from 1 species